AUUUGGAGAGGAUGCUUUUGGCGCGGCGCCGUCCGAGUUCCUUGGAACAGGACGCCACAGAGGGUGAGAGCCCCGUACGGACGGACGCCUAGCCUAUACAAAGCUCCUUCGACGAGUCGAGUAGUUUGGGAAUGCUGCUCAAAAUGGGAGGUAAAUUUCUUCUAAAGCUAAAUACCGGCCAGAGACCGAUAGCGCACAAGUAGAGUGAUCGAAAGAUGAAAAGCACUUUGAAAAGAGGGUUAAAAAGUACGUGAAAUUGUUGAAAGGGAAGCGCCUGUGACCAGACUUGCGCCCCGUGGACCACCCGGCGUUCUCGCCGGUGCACUCCGCGGGGCGCAGGCCAGCAUCGGUUCUCCUAGGGGGACAAAGGCCGCGGGAACGUAGCUCCUUCGGGAGUGUUAUAGCCCGCGGCGGCAUGCCCCUGGGGGGACCGAGGACCGCGCUUCGGCAAGGAUGCUGGCGUAAUGGUCACCAGCGACCCGUCUUGAAACACGGACCAAGGAGUCAAGCAUUGGGGCGAGUGUAUGGGUGCCAAACCCGCACGCGAAAUGAAAGUAAACGCAGGUGAGAGCUUCGGCGCAUCAUCGACCGAUCCUGAUGUCUUCGGAUGGAUUUGAGUAAGAGCCUUACCGCUUGGACCCGAAAGAUGGUGAACUAUGCCUGAAUAGGGUGAAGCCAGAGGAAACUCUGGUGGAGG
rnacentral:rRNA from 3 species